rnacentral:rRNA from 1 species
UUUAUAAAGAGUUUGAUCCUGGCUCAGGACGAACGCUGGCGGCGCGCCUAACACAUGCAAGUCGAACGAGCGAGAGAGAGCUUGCUUUCUCGAGCGAGUGGCGAACGGGUGAGUAACGCGUGAGGAACCUGCCUCAAAGAGGGGGACAACAGUUGGAAACGACUGCUAAUACCGCAUAAGCCCACGACCCGGCAUCGGGUUGAGGGAAAAGGAGCAAUCCGCUUUGAGAUGGCCUCGCGUCCGAUUAGCUAGUUGGUGAGGUAACGGCCCACCAAGGCGACGAUCGGUAGCCGGACUGAGAGGUUGAACGGCCACAUUGGGACUGAGACACGGCCCAGACUCC